rnacentral:rRNA from 1 species
GAUGAACGCUGGCGGCGUGCCUAAUACAUGCAAGUCGAGCGAACGGACGAGAAGCUUGCUUCUCUGAUGUUAGCGGCGGACGGGUGAGUAACACGUGGAUAACCUACCUAUAAGACUGGGAUAACUUCGGGAAACCGGAGCUAAUACCGGAUAAUAUUUUGAACCGCAUGGUUCAAAAGUGAAAGACGGUCUUGCUGUCACUUAUAGAUGGAUCCGCGCUGCAUUAGCUAGUUGGUAAGGUAACGGCUUACCAAGGCAACGAUGCAUAGCCGACCUGAGAGGGUGAUCGGCCACACAGGAGCUGAGACACGGUCCAGACUCCUACGGGAGGCAGCAGUAGGGAAUCUUCCGCAAUGGGCGAAAGCCUGACGGAGCAACGCCGCGUGAGUGAUGAAGGUCUUCGGAUCGUAAAACUCUGUUAUUAGGGAAGAACAUAUGUGUAAGUAACUGUGCACAUCUUGACGGUACCGAAUCAGAAAGCCACGGCUAACUACGU